rnacentral:rRNA from 1 species
CUCAGAUGAACGCUGCGGCAGGCCUAACACAUGCAAGUCGAGCGGAAACGAGUUAUCUGAACCUUCGGGGAACGAUAACGGCGUCGAGCGGCGGACGGGUGAGUAAUGCCUAGGAAAUUGCCCUGAUGUGGGGGAUAACCAUUGGAAACGAUGGCUAAUACCGCAUAAUGCCUACGGGCCAAAGAGGGGGACCUUCGGGCCUCUCGCGUCAGGAUAUGCCUAGGUGGGAUUAGCUAGUUGGUGAGGUAAUGGCUCACCAAGGCGACGAUCCCUAGCUGGUCUGAGAGGAUGAUCAGCCACACUGGAACUGAGACACGGUCCAGACUCCUACGGGAGGCAGCAGUGGGGAAUAUUGCACAAUGGGCGCAAGCCUGAUGCAGCCAUGCCGCGUGUGUGAAGAAGGCCUUCGGGUUGUAAAGCACUUUCAGUCGUGAGGAAGGUAGUGUAGUUAAUAGCUGCAUUAUUUGACGUUAGCGACAGAAGAAGCACCGGCUAACUCCGUGCCAGCAGCCGCGGUAAUACGGAGGGUGCGAGCGUUAAUCGGAUUACUGGGCGUAAAGCGCAUGCAGGUGGUUCGUUAAGUCAGAUGUGAAAGCCCGGGGCUCGCCUCGGAACUGCAUUUGAAACUGGCGGACUAGAGUACUGUAGAGGGGGGUAGAAUUUCAGGUGUAGCGGUGAAAUGCGUAGAGAUCUGAAGGAAUACCAGUGGCGAAGGCGGCCCCCUGGACAGAUACUGACACUCAGAUGCGAAAGCGUGGGGAGCAAACAGGAUUAGAUACCCUGGUAGUCCACGCCGUAAACGAUGUCUACUUGGAGGUUGUGGCCUUGAGCCGUGGCUUUCGGAGCUAACGCGUUAAGUAGACCGCCUGGGGAGUACGGUCGCAAGAUUAAAACUCAAAUGAAUUGACGGGGGCCCGCACAAGCGGUGGAGCAUGUGGUUUAAUUCGAUGCAACGCGAAGAACCUUACCUACUCUUGACAUCCAGAGACUCCAGCGGAGACGCAGGAGUGCCUUCGGGAGCUCUGAGACAGGUGCUGCAUGGCUGUCGUCAGCUCGUGUUGUGAAAUGUUGGGUUAAGUCCCGCAACGAGCGCAACCCUUAUCCUUGUUUGCCAGCGAGUAAUGUCGGGAACUCCAGGGAGACUGCCGGUGAUAAACCGGAGGAAGGUGGGGACGACGUCAGGUCAUCAUGGCCCUUACGAGUAGGGCUACACACGUGCUACAAUGGCGCAUACAGAGGGCAGCCAACUUGCGAAAGUGAGCGAAUCCCAAAAAGUGCGUCGUAUUCCGGAUUGGAGUCUGCAACUCGACUCCAUGAAGUCGGAAUCGCUAGUAAUCGUGGAUCAGAAUGCCACGGUGAAUACGUUCCC